ensembl:misc_RNA
CUGACCACCUUGGAGACUGAAGACCAGUUUAAUCACAGAAGAGAGCCAGAAGCAAUGCAACCUUCCUCAAACAUUCAGCAUGUCUCUCUCAACCCUAACCUGGAAGGACCUCCUCUAAGAAGGAGAGUAUGAUUCAGUUUCAAUGCCCAUUCAGUCCUUGGACUCU